rnacentral:lncRNA from 7 species
UCAAAGGAACAAACCCUUCUUAUAGAAAAAAAAAUGGCGGUGUUUCACUGGGACAAUGGUUGGACAGGAUUAAGCCUGAAUAUGUUUGGGAAAUUUGCUGCAACCAAGAGGCUGAAGGAUGAGCAGCAAUGGGCAGGCCGUGUACUGAGGUGAAUCUAGAACUGGACUGGUGCUCAGAGGACUAUGGUUACAAUCCUGGUAGCCACACAUACAGAGGAGAUCCUUUUGGAAAUUGGGUGACACCUCUGCUACAUUCAGAGUUGAGAGACCCUUGCCUGAUUCAGCAUCAUUCACCUGAACCUUCCCAAAAUCAGGUGAAACAAGGCCACAAAAGAAUGGUAUAUUACAGAUUUACAAACACAGAGAGAAUCUUUCAAACUGAACUGUAGUUAACCUGGCUCUGUGAAGAAACUUCACCACAUCACGAUGGUGAGUUCAGUUUAGUUUCCUUCCACCUCCCCCCAACCCUUUGGCUUUCAUGGCAUUAUUGUCUUUAAUAUAUGUUUUACUGGACAUAUCACAUUAAAUCUUUAUUGCCC